rnacentral:rRNA from 1 species
UACGAAGGGGGCUAGCGUUGCUCGGAAUUACUGGGCGUAAAGGGCGCGUAGGCGGAUAUCUAAGUUGGGGGUGAAAUCCCGGGGCUCAACCUCGGAAUUGCCUUCAAAACUGGAUAUCUUGAGUUCGGGAGAGGUGAGUGGAACUCCGAGUGUAGAGGUGAAAUUCGUAGAUAUUCGGAAGAACACCAGUGGCGAAGGCGACUCACUGGCCCGAUACUGACGCUGAGGCGCGAAAGCGUGGGUAGCAAACAGG